rnacentral:rRNA from 1 species
UACGAAGGGGGCUAGCGUUGCUCGGAAUCACUGGGCGUAAAGGGUGCGUAGGCGGGUUUUUAAGUCAGAGGUGAAAUCCUGGAGCUCAACUCCAGAACUGCCUUUGAUACUGAGAAUCUUGAGUAUGGGAGAGGUGAGUGGAACUGCGAGUGUAGAGGUGAAAUUCGUAGAUAUUCGGAAGAACACCAGUGGCGAAGGCGGCUCACUGGCCCGGUACUGAUGCUGAGAUACGAAAGCGUGGGGAGCAAACAGG